CGCAGUUUUCAUGCUUUGGUAGAUCUCUUCCUGAAACCGUGUGUGAGCUGUGAGCAAUUGCUGUAGAGCAUCAACUGUGAGCACGAGAGGAGCAGCCUCAGUCGGGUUGUUGUUGUUUGAAACUCCGGUUGGUUUUUGUUAUUUUGAUCACUACGAGAGAAAUAGACGAAUCAAAGAUGGCGAGCCCAGCCCAGAGUGAUGGUGGAUGGUCGUGAGAACGGUGUGGCCAGCCGUGGGACCAGCCACCGAAGACGUCGGACUAGUUUCGUUCAGACAGGAUACAGAUAAGAAUACACUUACGCUAUUAACUCUACCCGGGUAGUAGUACUGGACUUAAUAUACACACACACAAAAGGACCAGGAACUAAACUCUGAACUCAAUUUCAUACUCCUCGACUUAAAGGAGCAGUGAGCUGAAGUGUCAGCUCACAGGGACAUUUUCCUUUCCUUUUAUUAUUGAAAGAGCUCUAUUUUUGUUUUAUUUUAUUUUCAUUCUUGGUACAUUAUAGUACUGUGUUCAUUGUUGUGUCCCUUAAUGUAAUAAAACUGUCAACUGUUCAACUCAUUACUAACUCUUUUGUGAGUCACUCAAGGCAGACCACACCCCGGACCUAGAUAGAUGUUAGUUGCCCUGUUCUGGUAUUGGUUAG